CAGAUGAAGAAAGUUCUGGGAAGGCUGCUUUCUCUGUCUGCUGAAUCACAAAUGCCGUGGAGUUCAAGGGUCACUGUCAUCUGAUCCUGCUUCCCUGUGGUCUUGCCUCUGAAAAGGCAGGUAUGGCUGAGCUAUGAGAGUCUUGCAAUAUACCUCCAAGCAGGGUUGUAACCAG